rnacentral:rRNA from 1 species
GACGAACGCUGGCGGCGUGCUUAACACAUGCAAGUCGAACGAUGAAGCCGGAGCUUGCUCUGGUGAAUUAGUGGCGAACGGGUGAGUAACACGUGAGUAACCUGCCCUUGACUCUGGGAUAACUGCUAGAAAUGGUAGCUAAUACCGGAUACGACCCUCGGAGGCAUCUCCAGGGGGUGGAAAGAAUUUCGGUCAAGGAUGGACUCGCGGCCUAUCAGCUAGUUGGUGAGGUAACGGCUCACCAAGGCGACGACGGGUAGCCGGCCUGAGAGGGUGACCGGCCACACUGGGACUGAGACACGGCCCAGACUCCUACGGGAGGCAGCAGUGGGGAAUAUUGCACAAUGGGCGCAAGCCUGAUGCAGCAACGCCGCGUGAGGGAUGUCGGCCUUCGGGUUGUAAACCUCUUUUAGUAGGGAAGAAGCGAAAGUGACGGUACCUGCAGAAAAAGCACCGGCUAACUACGUGCCAGCCGCCACAGUAA